ensembl:lncRNA
UGUGCCCACAUGUUUCCCAAGGGGCCACAACCCUCGGGGGUGCCUGGUGGGUGCUGAAGUCGGGGUGUCCUGGAUGAAGUCGGCGUGCCCUGGGUGAAGUUGGGGUGUCCUUGGUGAAGUCAGGGUGGCAAGCCUCUUGGGUACUGAAGUCGGGGUGUCCUGGAUGAAAUUGGGGUACCAUGGAUGAAGUCAGGGUGUCCUGGGUGAAGUCAGGCUGUCUUGAAGUUGGGGUAUCGUGGGUGAGGUCAGGGUGCCCUGGGUGAAGUCAGGGUGUCCUGGGUGAAGUCAGGGUGUCCUUGGUGAAGUCUGGGUGUCCUGGAUGAAGUCAGGGUGCCCUGGGUGAAGUUGGGGUGUCCUGGGUGAAGUCGGGGUGCCCUGGGUGAAGUCGGGGUGCCCUGGGUGAAGUUGGGGUGCCCUGAGUGAAGUCGGGGUGCCCUGGGUGAAGUCCCCGUGUCACUGGACCCACCCGUCUACCACCAGCCCCCGCCCGGGCGCCUCCUCCCCCCGCCAAGCUCCGGCUGCACCUGCCUGGCUCCUCCCCACCGGGCGCUGUCGGCCUUCCCACCUGUCUGUACGGGGGUCACCCUAUGUUGCCCUGCCUCCCAGCAGGGGCCCUUGACAUCCAGCCUCCCCCAAGCAGAGAGCAGUGAUGGGAAAGUGAAGGUCAUCCUUGAGCUUGAAGAUGCUCGAGGUCGUCCUGAAUCAGGCAUGGUCCUCCCUAAAGGAGCUGCCCGCUGGGCCAAGCUUCAGGACCCUCAGGCCGGGUGCCCUCUCACCCCAUCCGCCUCAGCUUGUGCCCAGGACAGAUCUGGAGAGGCCCGCUGGGGCCCCGGGGAGAUGGAAGCCCUGGAGCUGGCUGGGGCCCAGGGCCUGGCUCUGCACGCUCCCAGCAGGAUGAUGCCACCCACUGGGGCCCCAGACUCCUUUCCUGAGAGGCCUGGGCGGCGGCUGCCCUGGUGGGGGGCCGUGGGUCCCUCUGCCCAGCCUGCCCCGUUCUGGGUUCUGAUCCCAGAUGGGGUGGGGCCGGGCCCCUGCU